CCUACGGGAGGCAGCAGUGGGGGAUAUUGCACAAUGGGGGAAACCCUGAUGCAGCAACGCCGCGUGAGCGAUGAAGGAUUUCGGAUUGUAAAGCUCUAUCCGCAGGGAAGAAAAUGACGGUACCUGAGUAAGAAGCCCCGGCUAACUACGUGCCAGCAGCCGCGGUAAUACGUAGGGAGCAAGCGUUAUCCGGAUUUACUGGGUGUAAAGGGAGCGUAGACGGUCAUGCAAGCCAGAUGUGAAAGCCCGGGGCUCAACCCCGGGACUGCAUUUGGAACUGUAAGGCUAGAGUGUCGGAGAGGCAGGCGGAAUUCCUAGUGUAGCGGUGAAAUGCGUAGAUAUUAGGAGGAACACCAGUGGCGAAGGCGGCCUGCUGGGCGAUGACUGACGUUGAGGCUCGAAAGCGUGGGGAGCAAACAGGAUUAGAUACCCCUGUAGUC
rnacentral:rRNA from 1 species